ensembl:lncRNA
GUUGAAUUAGUGAGAGCUAGUGAGGGGAAGAGGAGGGGUUGAAUUAGUGAGAGCUAGUGAGGGGAAGAGGAGGGGUUGAAUUAGUGAGAGCUAGUGAGGGGAAGAGGGGGGAUUGAAUUAGUGAGAGCUAGUGAGGGGGGAGGGGUUGAAUUAGUGAGAGCUAGUGAGGGAAGAGGAGGGGUUGAAUUAGUGAGAGCUAGUGAGGGGAAGAGGGGGUUGAAUUAGUGAGAGCUAGUGAAUUAGUGAGAGCUAGUGAGGGGAAGAGGGGGGUUGAAUUAGUGAGAGCUAGUGAGGGGAAGAGGGAAGGGUUGAAUUAGUGAGAGCUAGUGAGGGGAAGAGGAGGGGUUGAAUUAGUGAGAGCUAGUGAGGGGAAGAGGGGGGGUUGAAUUAGUGAGAGCUAGUGAGGGGAAGAGGGAAGGGUUGAAUUAGUGAGAGCUAGUGAGGGGAAGAGGAGGGGUUGAAUUAGUGAGAGCUAGUGAGGGAGAAGAGGAAGGGGGAUUGAAUUAGUGAGAGCUAGUGAGGGGAAGAGGAGGGGUUGAAUUAGUGAGAGCUAGUGAGGGGAAGAGGAGGGGUUGAAUUAGUGAGAGCUAGUGAGGGGAAGAGGGGGGGGGUUGAAUUAGUGAGAGCUAGUGAGGGGAAGAGGAGGGGUUGAAUUAGUGAGAGCUAGUGAGGGGAAGAGGGGGGUUGAAUUAGUGAGAGCUAGUGAGGGAAGAGGGGGGUUGAAUUAGUGAGAGCUAGUGAGGGGAAGAGGGGGGGUUGAAUUAGUGAGAGCUAGUGAGGGGAAGAGGAGGGGUUGAAUUAGUGAGAGCUAGUGAGGGGAAGAGGGGGGGUUGAAUUAGUGAGAGCUAGUGAGGGGAAGAGGGGGGUUGAAUUAGUGAGAGCUAGUGAGGG